GACGAACGCUGGCGGCGUGCUUAACACAUGCAAGUCGAACGAUGAAGCUGGAGCUUGCUCCGGUGGAUUAGUGGCGAACGGGUGAGUAACACGUGAGCAAUCUGCCCUUGACUCUGGGAUAACUGCGGGAAACUGUAGCUAAUACCGGAUACUUUCACUGGAAGGCAUCUUCUGGUGAAGAAAGAAUUUCGGUAAAGGAUGAGCUCGCGGCCUAUCAGCUUGUUGGUGAGGUAACGGCUGACCAAGGCGACGACGGGUAGCCGGCCUGAGAGGGUGACCAGCCACACUGGGACUGAGACACGGACCAGACUCCUACGGGAUGCAGCAGUGGGGAAUAUUGCACAAUGGGCGCAAGCCUGAUGCAGCAACGCCGCGUGAGGGAUGACGGCCUUCGGGUUGUAAACCUCUUUUAGCAGGGAAGAAGCGAAAGUGACGGUACCUGCAGAAAAAGCACCGGCUAACUACGUGCCAGCAGCCGCAGUAA
rnacentral:rRNA from 1 species